CAGUAGCCACGGUAAUACGGAGGGUGCAAGCGUUAAUCGGAAUUACUGGGCGUAAAGCGCACGCAGGCGGUUUGUUAAGUCAGAUGUGAAAUCCCUGAGCUUAACUUGGGAACUGCAUUUGAAACUGGCAAGCUAGAGUCUUGUAGAGGGGGGUAGAAUUCCAGGUGUAGCGGUGAAAUGCGUAGAGAUCUGGAGGAAUACCGGUGGCGAAGGCGGCCCCCUGGACAAAGACUGACGCUCAGGUGCGAAAGCGUGGGGAGCAAACAGGAUUAGAUACCCCAGUAGUCCCUGUCUCUUAUAC
rnacentral:rRNA from 1 species